GUCGCUUAUGUAUUUCUAUUCUUGGGUUGCACUCUCGUCAAGUGAAAUCUGCGACACUUGAAACCGUUGUUGUUUCUGCGAGAUUUUCUGUUGCUGACGUCGCAACUUCCUCAGUUCACCCUUUUGACCCGUGGGUAUAGAAGAUGACCUUUUGACAAACCGAAACUUGGCCCACUGUUGUUCAGAUCCCAUGAGGUGGUGUUGUUAUCUCUAGUCUAAGCGAGCUUAUAUUGAUUAGUAUUGUAUUGUAUUGUUUUGUGGGCGGUUUCUGCAAGCUGCUGCUAGUUCU
rnacentral:lncRNA from 1 species